GAUUAGGGUUUAGGUAGCUAACGGGAAGAAAGAGACUUGUAUGCAAAUUAGGUAGCUCACGGGAAGAAAGAGGCAUGUAAAGAUGGUGUAAAAAGAAUGAUCUAUGCAUGUUUGAUUAGGGUUUAGGUAGCUCACGGGAAGAAAGAGACUUGUUUGGAAAUUAGGUAGCUCACGGGAAGAAAGAGGCUUGCAUGAAAACAAUGACGUUGGGUUUAUAAAUAGGUCGAUUGACCUUUGACAACCAAACCACCUUCAGACUCGGUCGGAGGCUUACGUUUACUGUUCCCAGCUUACACACCUCAUCAAGUUCCUCUUUUUUUUACCUCUCUUUUUUUACCAUUUCAACACUGCACAAUGGUGAUGAAACUGGCUCUCUUUUUCGUUUGAGCAUUCUUGAUGCUGAUACAAUAUUCCUCCUUCCACACUGCACCAUAGUGUGGAAGUGUGGAAGGAGGAAUAUUGUAUCGGCAUCAAGAAUGCUCAUCUCUCCCAACUGUAUGAUCAGCAUAAUAUGGCCACAGUUGAGUUUCAAUAUCUUUGCACGGAGCCAUGAAUAACCUGUGUGAAAACGGGUCAUACUCCAUGCAAUGAUCAGUACCAGACCCCUAUAAUUUUAACCAUCUUAGAGUCAAUUGACUUGCCAAAAGCCCAAAAUUGGCUUGACCGCUGCUGAUCUUUAAAAAAUACCAAACUUACAAAAUUACUUGCAGUCAAGAACAAAUUCGUCCUGCUCUCAAACAUCGAGAGAGGACAAAUGUUCUUGACUGCAACUAAUUUUGUGAGGUGUUCAAAGAUCAGCAGCGAUCUGGGCAGUUUUGGGUUUUCGGCAAGUCUCGACCCUAUGAUGGUUAAAAUCAUAGGUUUGGUUGUGAUUAUUGCAUGAAGUUUGAUCCGUUUUCACACAGGUAAAACUUGGUAAUCCUUGUGUGGAUCUGCAAUGUUUCUCUUUCAAAACAACUUUUCUACUUUGAAAAAAUAGUCCAUGGAUCUGCAAAUAAAUACCUUUCUACUUUGAAAAAAACAUAAAUCAGUGCCUUGUAUGCAGGAAAUCCCGGAUCCAUGACAGAUCUUUGAGUAAGGGUCUCAACUCCAGAUCCAUUGGACGAGAAGUUAUAACAAACCUUGAAUGUCCCAUAUCCAUAGAUCUGGAAGAAUGAAGAUGGAGGAUUGCGUCUGCGUAUUAAGGGGCCAAAUACCAUGUUUGUGGACUGUUUUGGUUCUUCAUUAAGAUGUAAAUAAAUUUUGAAAUGGAUGAGAAUAUAUUUUAAUAUAUUUCACACAUUUAACAUGGUUUUAAAAUCCACGACAUUGAGCGGGCUCAAUUUCUAGUGUAUUACGAUAUUUAUAUUAGUCCUUGUAAUAUUAUUAAUUGCAUGUCCUCUAUAUGUUUCUUUGA